rfam:Podospora anserina genomic DNA, chromosome 7.
GGUCAGAUGGCCGAGCGGUCUAAGGCGCCACGUUAAGGUAUCAACCUUGAUUCCACUCCACCAAAAGAGUUCCGUGGUCUCGUAAGGGGCGUGAGUUCGAAUCUCACUCUGAUCA